GCCUGUAUUAUCAUUUUCCUGUUGUCACAGGAAAAAAAAUGUUUUGAUUAUAUAUUUUCACCAAGAUGAUUACCUCACAACUGUAAGCAUUAGAGGGAGACUACAGCUAAAAUUAAAACUGAUUUUACAUACUUUAAGUUGUAACACCGCUUGUUAUAUUUAUAAACAUUACCGUAUGUUAUACAAAUCUAAUCAUGGGUUUCUGUUAAACAAUCAUCCCAGGAUGGGAAAAGGCGUUUACAUAUGCAUUAGCAAUUUCCUGUUUAAUUUUCCAAUUUACAGAAUACUCAGAAAGUACGCAACAACAACAGAAAUGUUGCAUUACUUCCUUCAUGGGUUCAUUUACUAAAUAGUACGUUCUGCUAAGUCUACAACCGAAUCGCAAAAGUUAAAGGACCAAUAAAGGCACCCAGACCACUUCAGCUUAAUGAAGUGGUCUAGGUGCCAGGUCCAUCUAGGAUUAACCCUGCCAGCUGUAAACAUAGCAGUUUCAGAGAAAUUGCUAUGUUUACAUAUGGGUUAAUCCAGCCUCUAGUGGCUGUCUCAUUGAGUUUGUUUUCCUGGCACUAUAGUGGUCCUUCAAGUGAACAUCUGCAGUUUAAAGAAAAGAAAAUCCUCUAGUUCCAAUCGAGUAGGAAAUGUGGAGAUAUAUGUUUGUUGUUGAAAUUUUUUUGGCUAACAUUUAAGAGUUAUAUGUCUCAACAUGUGUACUCAUGCUAACUUUUAAUAAACAGUUAACCCAUAAAUCCCACCUUUGCACCUUUUCUUUGCUCCACUGCAGUUUUCACUCUACACACAAACAGGGUCCCAUUUUCUCCCUCUGCAGAGAGACUCAAAAUGGCAGUAUCCUCCUUAAACCCAAAUUCUACAAUUCUACAAUUUUAUAGAUUAAAGUUAAUGGCUAUAGUCUCACAGCCAUGGAGGGAGAAGGAAAUCGGUGCUAUGAGAACACUACAGGCAUUCUUUGCAUGCUGCAAUAUCCACCUGCAAUGCUUUAUAUCGGAGAGAUGCUUUAAACAGUGAGAGAGAUGCUAAAUGUUUAAAACUGAAGUAUCCCUUACAAACAUGCAUAAUUACACCGAAUGAGGGUGUUUACUAUUUACCUAUUUUGUCACACAUACUGUUUGUGACAAAAAAAAAAAUCUGCAUUUCUACAAAUUUUUAAAACCGUAUCUUAAAUAUUGUAAAAUAAGGGUUACUCAAUAAUUAUGCAAUGAAAAAUGGAAUGGAAUAAAAUUAAAAUAAAGUUUUUAUGGAUUUACAAAAUUGCAAUUAUUAAGUAGCCACUGAACUGCACUAUGUACCAAAAAUUAUUUUAUUCUUUGUUCAUGUACUAGCCAUGGGCCACAAGUUUCAAGUGAAUGCUAUGCUUGAUUUUUUUUUUUUAAACUAAAUGUGGUAAUUCGUUGGUUGAUAGACUGCUUACCACCUGAAAAAUAGCUAUUUUAAGAAUGUAAAAGUAACAAAAAAGUGUUCUUACACAUAAUUCAAACAUGGUUACUACAACAAUGCUAUACCGUAAUCAUUAUCACAGUGCCUCUACAUUGAAAAGACUGCUGUGUCAUUAUAGCACCAUUGAUAAUGAUAAAAUAAUAAGAGCACUGGGUACACUGCCGUACCUGGUAAUGUGGUAACACACGUGCUCCCUGUGCAGUAGGUUUAGGGUUAUCUGGGGGGCUUAGGUUUAACCUGGCUGAGAAUCACAAGUUACAGUCUAUAGCAAAGUCCCCCUUAAUGCUAAGUUCCCCUUUCCCUAAGUUUCCAUACCAACCAACCUAACCUAAGACGCCCAUCCCAAACCUUAAUUCUCCCAUAAAACUAACUUUAACGCUAAUAACUCCCGUAACUUGCCCUCAAUCUUCUAAUAACCUGCUCUUGUUCUUAGCAUUGUAUAAAUGGUGUCACUAAUACUAAUGAUUUAAUGUCACUUUUUUUUUUUUUUAAAUUCUUUAUUUUCUGUGCAUUGAGAAAUG